UAGGGAAUCUUCGGCAAUGGACGAAAGUCUGACCGAGCAACGCCGCGUGAGUGAAGAAGGUUUUCGGAUCGUAAAACUCUGUUGGUAGAGAAGAACGUUGGUGAGAGUGGAAAGCUCAUCAAGUGACGGUAACUACCCAGAAAGGGACGGCUAACUACGUACCAC
rnacentral:rRNA from 1 species